UACGUAGGGGGCAAGCGUUAUCCGGAUUUACUGGGUGUAAAGGGAGCGUAGACGGCAAUGCAAGUCUGGAGUGAAAGGCGGGGGCCCAACCCCCGGACUGCUCUGGAAACUGUAUAGCUGGAGUGCAGGAGAGGUAAGUGGAAUUCCUAGUGUAGCGGUGAAAUGCGUAGAUAUUAGGAGGAACACCAGUGGCGAAGGCGGCUUACUGGACUGUAACUGACGUUGAGGCUCGAGAGCGUGGGGAGCAAACAGG
rnacentral:rRNA from 1 species